AAUGGUUAACAGCUUUCAACCACAAAAUUAUCAAAACUCAUAAUAUUAAUUAUGAUAUUUGAUGAUAAGGACGUAAAAGAGGAGUGUGGAUAUCAUAGCGGGAUUGGAAGCUAGUUGAGAUUGAAUGCAUGAGAUCAAAGCUCUAACAAAGUGAUAAGUCCGACCCAUUUCUAUUUUUGUUUUGUUUUAAUUCAUUUAGUUCUCGGAUGAAUGAAACUCUAAUAAUUUAAAGUACAAUAAAUAAAAUCUAAUCAUUAAUUAUUUUAUUUAAAAUUCGAAUUCAAAUUCUCCAAAAAAAAUCCACUUAUAUUCGUUGAAAAUCUGAAACAAUUUAAUUAGCCUCUCAAGCAGAAAGCACUCCUUAAAGUAUUUUUGAGUGUAUUCUCAAUUGAAAACAAUUUCCACUUAGCUUCUCUAUUCAAAACAAUAUUUCUAUAUAAGUCCUUUAUGAAAGUUUCUGAGUAUUGAAAUUUCAAAUAAUCAUGAAAUCAAUUUCCAAACUCACAUAACUUAAUAUGUUCUAAUUUUUUAUGUUAUCUAAUCAUGUUUUCAUUUUUUUCUUUCCAUAAUUGAAAUUUUAUUGAUCCAAAUCCAAACUCUACAUCACAGUAAGAAAACUCUAUCCAUCUACUAUAAAGGAUUGCGUAAUUCACACUAUCAUUUACUUACAAUUACAAUAACAUUCAUAAUUAAAUGCAUUUGCUCAUAAAAGAAUUCAUAAUUAAAUUCAUUAAUAUAAGGAAUAACUUAUGUAGUUUAAAUUAUACUAAAAAGAACAAGUAAGGUUUGUAGUUAGUGGACGGAAUCACUUUGUAUUUUUUCUUUAGAGCAAGGACCGUGCAACUAGGCGUAAACAUGUUCAAGCCAUAAUAAUAAUGAUGGUGGGUUAAGAUAUAGACAAUACUCUCUUUGCAGCUAAAAAGCAACUAAUGAGUAAUGAUCAAGGACCCUCCCAAUCUCAUCUCAUAGAGUUCUCACAUGCUCUCCAUUUAAUGUAACAUUAAUUAAUAUAUACUCCUUCCAAGUCUAAGUCUAGGAGAUUGGUGCAUAACAAAUAUUUACCGAUAAUAAUUUAAUCUUUUUAGAUUGUCAAAUUAUUUCAAAAUGUGAAUUCUCUCAACGUACAAUAUAGACUAGAAUAUUUAUCUAUUUUUAUUAUGUUUUUUUGCCACUAGGUUUUGGUUUUGAUUAUGCUCUAUUUUUUACUCUCAAAUUGAUAUUAAUUUGGUUCAAAAUUUUCUUGUUAUAUGUGGAAAUGAUUGGUAACAUCAAUGCGUAGAUGUAAUUUUAGCCAUCAACAUUUUUACUAUUGAUACUAUUUGGUAUUGUAGAAAUCAAACUCGAUUUGAAGACAAUAGUUCUAUUUUCCACACUGUUAUCAAUUGAAUUAUUGUCAAUGUAUCUUUAACAAUCACACUUUUAGUACAAUCUCCAAAUAUAUGCAGGAAUUUCAAAUUCUCAAGUCCUUUCAAGUUAGAGCCCAUCCUCAUAAUGCAUCUAUCAUCAAAGAAGUGAUAUGGACCCCCUUAAGGAGUAUUAGAUUAAAUGUAAUACUGAUGGAACAUAAUCUGGAUGUUUUGGUCCUGCUGCAUGUGGAGAUACAUUUAAGGACAACUUUGUUGUUUCCUUUUUGUUGUGAAUUUGGGGAUUGCAAUUGCACUACAUGUUGAACUUACGGAAGUUAUGGUACCUACAAGAAUGGGUGACAUUUUAUAUGGAUUGAAUUUGAUUCACAAUUGACAAAUAUGAUUUUUAGGAAUGCUAUUCCUUAGUCUAUUAUAAAUAGAUGACUUAAUUGUUUUGAGAUGGU
rnacentral:lncRNA from 1 species